rnacentral:rRNA from 1 species
CCUACGGGUGGCUGCAGUGGGGAAUAUUGGACAAUGGGCGCAAGCCUGAUCCAGCAAUGCCGCGUGUGUGAAGAAGGCCUUCGGGUUGUAAAGCACUUUUAUCAGGAGCGAAAUCUGCAUGCUUAAUACGUGUGCAGUCUGACGGUACCUGAGGAAUAAGCACCGGCUAACUUCGUGCCAGCAGCCGCGGUAAUACGAAGGGUGCAAGCGUUAAUCGGAAUUACUGGGGGCGAAGGGUGAGUAGGCGGUUGAAAUCCCCGGGCGCAACCUGGGAAUGGCGAUGGAGACUGGCGAGCUAGAGUGUGUCAGAGGAUGGUGGAAUUCCCGGUGUAGCGGUGAAAUGCGUAGAGAUCGGGAGGAACAUCAGUGGCGAAGGCGGCCAUCUGGGACAACACUGACGCUGAAGCACGAAAGCGUGGGGAGCAAACAGGAUUAGAUACCCCGGUAGUC